rnacentral:lncRNA from 1 species
AGGUUAAACAGUAUGGCUUUAGAAACAGAUUGAGAACUUGAGGUUUGACCCUCAAGUUCCUUUUCAGGAUAUGGGUAAGGACCAUACAAUGAUGUUUCACAAUUUUCAAACAUGAUGACCUACCUUACCUACUAGCUUUCCCUUUGGGACAACCAUUUCUGACAAAAAAGCAUGGAAAAAGUGGAGUGAAGAAGAUACGUUUCUAGACAAAGCACAAAUGUUCUCAUGGUGUUUAUCAAGAUACUGGCAGAUGAUGGAAAGCAAAAUCGUGUUGGGCCACCUCAAAGAUAUUUCAAAGCUGUAGGUUGAGCUGAAGGUGCUUCCAGCUACAGCUUACUAAAGCAAGCAGAACAGAUUAUAUAGAUGACUGAAACAUGUUGUUUGUUAAAGCCUGUGUCAUUCAGUAUCCUUUCAAAUAUAAGUCCUCUUCCCAUUAUUUGCCUUCAUUUAAGGAAAGAGGAGAGAGAACAUCUAUAAAGAGAAAAGCAUAGAGUUUCAGAUGUUUGUUAUUGUUUAUUUUUUCUGAAUUUAGAGACCCCUUAGAUGGUUGCAGGGAAAAAGAGCCUUGGAAACUUAUUCCCUUUCAUUUCUCUUCUGUUUCUUGUGGUUACUGCAUACAUUAAGGAAGCCCCUUGUUUUCUCAUUUGAAUAUGAGUGUAUUUUACAGCACAAUUUUAAAUUAUUUAUGCACACGUAAGCAAAAAUUAUUGAAAAGCAGGCAAAAUAAAAUUAAGAGAAAACAGAUGGUGGGCAAACAUAAAUGUGCUGUUUGAUGAUCUUUCUUUACUCUUACUCUAUCAUUUUCAAGUAUUUU